rnacentral:rRNA from 1 species
AGAGUUUGAUCAUGGCUCAGGACGAACGCUGGCGGCGCGCCUAACACAUGCAAGUCGAACGGAGUUAUUUUCUUCACUCCGAGCCUUUUGCCAGUUAGCCGGAGCGGCAAUCGGUUUUGCCCAGCAUAAAAAGCAAAACCGAUUUAGGCUCAUAAAGUAAGACUAACACAGAGGGCAGAGAGUUGGGAGUGAAGAAAAUAACUUAGUGGCGAACGGGUGAGUAACGCGUGAGUAACCUGCCCUGGAGUGGGGGACAACAGUUGGAAACGACUGCUAAUACCGCAUAAGCCCACGAUCCGGCAUCGGAUUGAGGGAAAAGGAUUUAUUCGCUUCAGGAUGGACUCGCGUCCAAUUAGCUAGUUGGUGAGGUAACGGCCCACCAAGGCGACGAUUGGUAGCCGGACUGAGAGGUUGAACGGCCACAUUGGGACUGAGACACGGCCCAGACUCCUACGGGAGGCAGCAGUGGGGGAUAUUGCACAAUGGGGGAAACCCUGAUGCAGCGACGCCGCGUGGAGGAAGAAGGUUUUCGGAUUGUAAACUCCUGUCGUUAGGGACGAUAAUGACGGUACCUAACAAGAAAGCACCGGCUAACUACGUGCCAGCAGCCGCGGUAAAACGUAGGGUGCAAGCGUUGUCCGGAAUUACUGGGUGUAAAGGGAGCGCAGGCGGACCGGCAAGUUGGAAGUGAAAACUAUGGGCUCAACCCAUAAAUUGCUUUCAAAACUGCUGGCCUUGAGUAGUGCAGAGGUAGGUGGAAUUCCCGGUGUAGCGGUGGAAUGCGUAGAUAUCGGGAGGAACACCAGUGGCGAAGGCGACCUACUGGGCACCAACUGACGCUGAGGCUCGAAAGCAUGGGUAGCAAACAGGAUUAGAUACCCUGGUAGUCCAUGCCGUAAACGAUGAUUACUAGGUGUUGGAGGAUUGACCCCUUCAGUGCCGCAGUUAACAC